ACUCCUACGGGAGGCAGCAGUGGGGAAUAUUGCACAAUGGGCGCAAGCCUGAUGCAGCCAUGCCGCGUGUGUGAAGAAGGCCUUCGGGUUGUAAAUGCANCUUUCAUGUCGUGAGGAAGGAUAGUGUAGUUAAUAGCUGCAUUAUUUGACGUUAGCGACAGAAGAAGCACCGGCUAACUCCGUGCCAGCAGCCGCGGUAAUACGGAGGGUGCGAGCGUUAAUCGGAAUUACUGGGCGUAAAGCGCAUGCAGGUGGUUUGUUAAGUCAGAUGUGAAAGCCCGGGCUCAACCUCGGAAUUGCAUUUGAAACUGGCAGGCUAGAGUACUGUAGAGGGGGCUGAGAAUUAUCAGGUGUAGCGGUGAAAUGCGUAGAGAUCUGAAGGAAUACCGGUGGCGAAGGCGGCCCCCUGGACAGAUACUGACACUCAGAUGCGAAAGCGUGGGGAGCAAACAGGAUUAGAUACCCUGGUAGCUACG
rnacentral:rRNA from 1 species